AUAUUUUCUGUAUCCACGAAACAAAUAUCAGUACCUUUCUCCUUCUUCUUCCUUUCUCUUUAAAUUUGCAGGGGCUUUCCUCGUCCUUUUGAUGUGGGUUUGGGGUAGUUGAGGCGCAACCAUCAUAAUCACCUUCAGAAUUUUAUUUUUGUUGUGGGCACGUUUAUAUUUGCCUUCUUCUAUUUCAGCAUUAACAUCUAAACUUUUUUGCAGUGACGAUUAACAACGGCAGAAAGCACUGCCAUGAAAAAGAUGAUGCUGCCAUCUCUUCCUCCUAUCACCGCAAAAUGCCCUCAGACUGAAGAUGGUACCUACAUCUACUCUCAUGCUCUCUGUCAUCUCAACCCGUUCAUCAAUUGAGCAGUUUUAGGAAAAAACUGAGUCUCAAUAUUGAAGAUGACGUGUCAUAACACGUGGACUGGUCAAAAGGUCAAAACA